GUACGUCUCUAUUUUUUGGGGAGUUUUUAGAGAUAAAACUGCUGGUUAAAACAUUUUUAAGAUUACUGGCACCUCUAUAUACUACUCGUGGUUUUUCUCCUACAAAUGUAAGGAGAUCUUCAUUUUGUCUAAGGAUAUGCCAGUGUUUUUUAAGAAUUUUAUGAAACAAGUAACUUUGAGAAUUAUAAUCGCAUAUAAAAGAA